rnacentral:rRNA from 1 species
ACACAUGCAAGUCGAGGGGCAGCACAGGUAUUUAUACCGGGUGGCGACCGGCGCACGGGUGAGUAACGCGUAUGCAACUUACCUAUCAGAGGGGGAUAACCCGGCGAAAGUCGGACUAAUACCGCAUGAAGCAGGGGCCCCGCAUGGGGAUAUUUGCUAAAGAUUCAUCGCUGAUAGAUAGGCAUGCGUUCCAUUAGGCAGUUGGCGGGGUAACGGCCCACCAAACCGACGAUGGAUAGGGGUUCUGAGAGGAAGGUCCCCCACAUUGGUACUGAGACACGGACCAAACUCCUACGGGAGGCAGCAGUGAGGAAUAUUGGUCAAUGGCCGAGAGGCUGAACCAGCCAAGUCGCGUGAGGGAUGAAGGUUCUAUGGAUCGUAAACCUCUUUUAUAAGGGAAUAAAGUGCGGGACGUGUCCCGUUUUGUAUGUACCUUAUGAAUAAGGAUCGGCUAACUCCGUGCCAGCAGCCGCGGUAAUACGGAGGAUCCGAGCGUUAUCCGGAUUUAUUGGGUUUAAAGGGUGCGUAGGCGGCCUUUUAAGUCAGCGGUGAAAGUCUGUGGCUCAACCAUAGAAUUGCCGUUGAAACUGGGGGGCUUGAGUAUGUUUGAGGCAGGCGGAAUGCGUGGUGUAGCGGUGAAAUGCAUAGAUAUCACGCAGAACCCCGAUUGCGAAGGCAGCCUGCCAAGCCAUUACUGACGCUGAUGCACGAAAGCGUGGGGAUCAAACAGGAUUAGAUACCCUGGUAGUCCACGCAGUAAACGAUGAUCACUAGCUGUUUGCGAUACACUGUAAGCGGCACAGCGAAAGCGUUAAGUGAUCCACCUGGGGAGUACGCCGGCAACGGUGAAACUCAAAGGAAUUGACGGGGGCCCGCACAAGCGGAGGAACAUGUGGUUUAAUUCGAUGAUACGCGAGGAACCUUACCCGAGUUUGAACGCAUUCGGACCGAGGUGGAAACACCUUUUCUAGCAAUAGCCGUUUGCGAGGUGCUGCAUGGUUGUCGUCAGCUCGUGCCGUGAGGUGUCGGCUUAAGUGCCAUAACGAGCGCAACCCUUGCCACUAGUUACUAACAGGUAAAGCUGAGGACUCUGGUGGGACUGCCAGCGUAAGCUGCGAGGAAGGCGGGGAUGACGUCAAAUCAGCACGGCCCUUACAUCCGGGGCGACACACGUGUUACAAUGGCGUGGACAAAGGGAAGCCACCUGGCGACAGGGAGCGAAUCCCCAAACCACGUCUCAGUUCGGAUCGGAGUCUGCAACCCGACUCCGUGAAGCUGGAUUCGCUAGUAAUCGCGCAUCAGCCAUGGCGCGGUGAAUACGUUCCCGGGCCUUGUACACACCGCCCGUCAAGCCAUGGGAGCCGGGGGUACCUGAAGUCCGUAACCGCGAGGAUCGGCCUAGGGUAAAACUGGUGACUGGGGCUAAGUCGU